CGGGGUCACAGCGAGCAUCAGGAGGUGCGGGGGACCCCCCUGCACGCGUGCCCCACAUUUGUCUUUCUGAGCUCUGGCUUGUUAGCAUGACUUGGGGAGGGAUAUUAGGAGCUGGGGGGGAGCCCCCAAAAUGCUGCUUUACUGUCAAAAUAAUUGUGUUCUGAAUUGUCUUUUGGGGCAAAUGGCUUUUGAGGAGACAAGAGAUUCUGGCGAGAGCCAGUGACAUACCGGCUGAUAAAGCAAGUUCCCAGCAAGGUGGCAGAACGAGCGGGACCUGGGAUUAUCCCUCAGCCACAGACCCACCUGGGAGCCUGCCUGCCAGAAGGAGAAAUGGCACAAGAGGAAAUACAUCUUCACAGCCUCGAGAGAGGAGAGGUUUGGAAUCUGAGUCCGUAAACAGCGUUGCUGCGCAGUGAGCAAAGGCAGAGCAGGUUGUGCUCUGGAGAGUGUAACCCCACCUCCGCAGCUUCUCUUCCGAAUUAAAAAAUAAAUAG